UACGAAUGGGGCGAGCGUUGUUCGGAAUCACUGGGCUUAAAGCGUGCGUAGGCGGAUAAGAAAGUCAGAAGUGAAAGCCCAGGGCUCAACCCUGGAACUGCUUUUGAAACUCCUUGUCUAGAGUCCCGGAGAGGUUAACGGAAUUCCGAGUGUAGAGGUGAAAUUCGCAGAUAUUCGGAGGAACACCAGUGGCGAAGGCGGUUAACUGGACGGGUACUGACGCUGAGGUACGAAAGCGUGGGGAGCAAACAGG
rnacentral:misc_RNA from 1 species